UGGCCGCGAUGAAGCGAAUCAUUCGGCCGUCGAUUCUUCAUCUUCUGGUUCUCGCCUGCAUCACAAUCUUUGGAGCCAUGUUCGUAGUUGAGGUCAAAUUCGCGAUGGUGAAGGGGACAGUGCCGCUUGAAAAUCAUUCAACUUAUGAGCACUUUGCAGACCUUCGCGAGGUAACAUUCAGACUGAAAGGACCACUUCAGCCUGAUGAUCCAUCCCUGAUAUCCGUCAUCAAGCGUGACUAUUUACGGCCUCCAGGAUCAGGACCUUACCAGUUGCGCCACCUUGUCUCAGGCGACUACGAAGAUAAAUUGAUCAGCGAGCUUUGGAUAGACUCGUACCUAAGGGACAUUUAUCCUCCUGGUAAAAAAUGAUAUUUCGUGGAAGCGGGAGCAUUGGAUGGUGAGUACCUCUCCAACACCCUGCGUCUGGAGAGGGAGCAAGGAUGGACUGGACUCUUGGUGGAGCCUGACAUGGACAACUACAAGCAACUGUUAAAGACCAACCGCAAGGCAUGGACGAGUCCGACCUGCCUGGCUUUGAAAGACUAUCCCGAAACUGUCGUGAUUGCAAAAAUGAGGAACCUGAGACCUCAGAUAAAUUGGCUUUGGAGAGCCACUACGUAUAUUCGGACGGAAGAACGCGAUCAUCCACAAUACUCGGAGGCCAAAUCCGUUACGCAGUACGACACCGCCCACUGCCCAGUGCGUCCCUGCGCGAUCCCUGUUCCUGGCGCUCAACGUGAGCCACGUGGACUUCUUCAGCUUGGACAUCGAGAUGACUGAAGAGGCGGUGCUCAAAGUUUUCCCUUAUCAAGAUGUUACGGUGGACGUGUGGGCAAUCGAACACAGGGUACCAGGUUUUGUCGUUGUUGAUGUUGAGAAACUGCACCGCUCAAGCAAUUACACUCUUGUGGAAAUGGAGCAGCAAGGCUUUCCACCGGAAGAUAUAAUCCACAGACAACGCCUCGUAAGUGCGUUCGAGGAUAAAAACUUCAUCCAAUUCAUGAUCAACAAAGGGUACUACUACUUGGAUGCCACGUGUACAUACGUCGGAGACUUUAUGUUCGUGAGGAAAGAAUCGGAGAUUUACAAGUCAAUGGAAGUGCCCGAACAUGCAAGCAAUCGAACUGAAAUUUGCAAGCACAAGUUAUUAUUAGAUCAUUCCCAAAUCGACUAUAGUGACACCGCGUCACGCGAUCCACAUCACUAUCCAGGAUUAUUGUAUAAGUUUUUGGAAUAAAAUAGCUCACUUGAUUGUACAAUGCUGAUCGUAAUCAGACUGAGACAGUUUCCAUGUAUGUGCCUCACAAGGCCGUCUGUGAGGUCACUUUCAGUACUACUACAUGCCAAUAAGUUUCGAGGUAGAAACAAAUUAAAACUCUUCACUAGCCUUUUAUGAUGAGGAAUAUCACUUACACACAUAGAACUUAUUAACCUGAAGCCCCUGCGAGAUCUUGCCUUCUUUUCUCAUUUUAUGAGGAUCAUUCAAUCCUCUAACUUUGAGUAGUAUCAUCUUUGAUACCAAACAUAGACAAUAAGUAGCACUGUAGAACAUAUAAAUGUAUCACAUUAUCAAAUUAGUUACAGCCAUUACA
rnacentral:misc_RNA from 1 species